rnacentral:misc_RNA from 1 species
AGUGAACGCGCGUGAUUCCGCAGUGCGUUCUGGCGUGCCGUCGCGACUUCUUGUUUCGUCUGACAGUUGCUGCGGCUGGAAGCGCAUCGCUUCAGCUCGAUCGCGUGUCGUAUUCACCGCGUGUGCGUGGGUAGCAAGAUUUUGACGGCUGGUUCUAAGUGUGUGCGGUUUGUCUCUGCUGUAGCGGCAGCAAGGGCUAUGAGUCUGGCUGCGUGAAGGGAGAAGCGGAGAGGAAAAAGGAAGGACGAAGCCGGGGAGAGGCGAGAGGCUUCCAAGACGGCGCGACGCGCAAGGAAUGCGGCCAGCAUGGCGGUGUCGCAGGUGCUGUGGCGGCUGUCCGCCGCGCCUCUGCUGUUGGCGGCACUGACCGUCGUCCGCGCUGCAGACAUGACGCAGCUCUUCCUGCGGAGCCCUGAGGACGCCGUCGCGCCGCUGGGGGACCGCGUCUCGUUCGACUGCCGGCUGCGCUCGGGGGCGGACCGCAUCCGCUGGAAGCACGCCGGCCGCUUCGUGUCGCACGUGCCGCAGCAGGCGCAGUCGACGUCGUCGUCGUCGGCGCACCCGGCCCCCUCCGGCACCAGCGGCGGCAAGGGCCGCGUGCGGUCCAGCUACCAGGUGCACGUCACCAGCUACGACCAGGCCGGCGACUACCAGUGCGUGGCGUGGUUCGGCGCGGCGGCCCUCGUGUCGACGCCUGCACAGUUGCUGGUGGCCCGGCUGGACCCCUUCCCUGGUGGCGACGGGCCCAGCCAGCAGGUGGAGGUGCACGUGGCCGUGGGUGGAAGUCUGGUACUGCCCUGCCAGCCGCCCCCGAGUGUGCCACCACCCGCGCUGCUCUUCUACCGGGACGAACACCGCCUCCAGCCCAGGAGCGCCGCUGCUCGAGCCGGACCAGGAAGACUGCUCCUUACUUCCCUGAGCGAGUCUGACUCUGGUAACUACACGUGUGAGGCUGUGAAUGACAUCACAGGGCAGCUGGUGAGGUCACCCCGUAUCUUCUCUGUGACUGUCACGAGGGACCCACCGCGCUCAGCGCCCCGCUUCCUGGAUGACCCCAUCCCACUGCGGAGGUACCCUGUCAGGGCAGGUGAUAAUGUGACAUUACCCUGCUGGGCACUCGGACAUCCGACUCCAGUGACGAACUGGUUCCGGGAAGGUAACCACAAAUUGCACCCCACGCGCUCUGCCAUGGUUCCUGGUGGACUGAUGCUGACAGGGACCACACUGGAAGAUACAGGCCGCUACAAGUGCAUCUUGGAAAAUUCGCUAGGUUCUGUCUCGCUGGAAGCACUAGUUGAAGUUUUGGAGCCACCAGUCCUGGUGAGAGGCCCAAAGGUGGAUCGAGUGCAGCAAGGAGACAAUGUUGUUCUCGAGUGCGAGUUUCGAGGGUCUCCACAACCCAACAUCACGUGGGUCUUCAACGGAAACUCUGUGACCAAUGACAGCCACAUCACAGUUAUCAGAGGAAAUCUUGCCAUACAGAAUGCUGACCUAAAGCACGCUGGCAUAUUCCAGUGCUUUGGUCGAAAUGAACUUGGGUCAGUCUUUGGUUCUGCAAUGGUGGAAGUCGCUCCUAAUGCUGUUAGCAUAAAUCCAGAUGACAUCGGAGCAGAUGGCACUGAUAUCGGUGAUGGCAGUGCUGGUGGCAGUUCUGGUAAGAAGUCAGAGGGGCCCCACAAAGGCGCCAAGGACCGCAGAAAGAUCAACCAUGGCCAUGUACGUAUGAUUCCUCCCUCGAGACCACAUGUCACACGCCUCUCAGACACAUCGGUGAUGGUGCGCUGGAAGGUGACCCCGAAUCAUGGUCUGCCCAUCCAGUUCUUCAAAGUCCAGUACAGCCACAAGGGCCACGGGGGUUCGGGAGGUGGUGGCAAGCAUCAGAACUGGAUGACCAACAAUGGGGACAUACCACCCUACAUACACACGUAUGAGGUGGACAACCUGGAGCCCAACCAGACAUACCGGUUUCGCAUUGCUGCUGCCUACUCCAAUGAUGACAAUAAACUGAGCCCCAACCUGCGACACUUCCACCUGAAGUCGGACGUCGGCAUACACCUUCCGGCACCGACGCUCUACAGGACGUCUGCCCUGUCUCCUACGUCCAUCAAACUCUACUGGAAGCAGUCAGAGCCAGCAGAGCUGGAAGGCUUCUACAUUUACUACCGGCCGGCGAGCACGGCUGGCGACUACUUGCACGUCACGGUGGAGGACCCACAGGCAGACACGUUCGAUGUGGAGCACCUGCAGCCCGACACCACCUACGAGGUGAAGCUGCAGGGUUUCGUGAAAGAAGCUGCCUCGGCAUUUAGUGCCAUCCUCACCCAGAAGACUCUGCCUCUGCCCGUGACAGAGCCACCAGUUUCCGGAGCAGACAGCACCGUGGACGGGGCCAACAGUGCACAGGUGCUGGUAAAGACGGUGGAGGCGAGCGGGGCGGGCACCCUCUAUCUCGCCGUCGGGUGCAGCGUGGGCGUGAUCGUCCUCGUGUUGGUGGCAGCUACCGUCGUCUGGCUGCUCUACCGUCGGAAGGUCUCUGCGAGGGCUGGAGAGCGAGGAAACUGCAACUGACCAUCUACCACUGGGAGACUGGUGGCAGUGACGCCGUAUCCCUUCUCCCACUCCAAGGAGAAGAUGGGCAACCAAUGUGAUUGAUGAGAGCCUGAUGGAGGCAGCGCGCAGCCAGAACAACAACUGCGAGGGCGUGGACCCGGCCACGGGGGC